rnacentral:rRNA from 1 species
AGCAUUAUACCGUGAAACUGCGAAUGGCUCAUUAAAUCAGUUAUCGUUUAUUUGAUAGUACCUUACUACUUGGAUACCCGUGGUAAUUCUAGAGCUAAUACAUGCUAAAAACCCCGACUUCGGGAGGGGUGUGUUUAUUAGAUAAAAAACCAACGCCCUUCGGGGCUCCUUGGUGAUUCAUGAUAACCUCUCAGAUCGCACGGCCUUGCGCCGGCGACGGUUCAUUCAAAUUUCUGCCCUAUCAACUUUCGAUGGUAAGGUAUUGGCUUACCAUGGUUUCAACGGGUAACGGGGAAUUAGGGUUCGAUUCCGGAGAGUGAGCCUGAGAAACGGCUCACACAUCCAAGGAAGGCAGCAGGCGCGCAAAUUACCCAAUCCCGACACGGGGAGGUAGUGACAAUAAAUACUGAUACAGGGCUCUUUUGGGUCUUGUAAUUGGAAUGAGUACAAUUUAAACCUCUUAACGAGGAACAAUUGGAGGGCAAGUCUGGUGGACAUUCAGCUCCCAUUCUGCUGACGCCAGAGAUAGUCGGGCAGUCUCAUUCGAGGCUGUUAUGCCGGCUAGUCGAGUACCUACUUAAUUGAUGGGGAGGUACCGGCAAGACAACCUGGAUCGGGGAAGGCUAAGGUACGGAAGUGCUAUGCUAAUCCCGAGCAGAGCUACCAAGGAGCGAUCCCUGGAUAGCCUGUGUAGAGCGCGCUAAGGUGUCGGCCAGCUCACGUAGUUGGCUUAAGGGACGUGCCAUUCCCAUCCGAAAGGGUGGCUGCCAGCAGAAGCGCCCAUCACGCGAGCGCUGGCAGGUUCAAAUAUGUUUGCAAAGGCAGGAACAAGCACUGCGUGCCUUCCGUCAGUUCCUCACACUAAGGAAGCAACUUCCUCAGCAUUGCAAACAUUUUGAAGUAUUUCUAAAAGGCCAGCAGCCGCGGUAAUUCCAGCUCCAAUAGCGUAUAUUAAAGUUGUUGCAGUUAAAAAGCUCGUAGUUGAAUCUUUGGCCUGGCUGGCGGGUCCGCCUCACCGCGUGCACUUGUCCGGCCGGGCCUUCUCUUCUGGAGAACCGCAUGCCCUUCACUGGGCGUGUUGGGGACCAGGACUUUUACUUUGAAAAAAUUAGAGUGUUCAAAGCAGGCCUUUGCUCGAAUACGUUAGCAUGGAAUAAUAGAAUAGGACGUGCGGUCCUAUUUUGUUGGUUUCUAGGACCGCCGUAAUGAUUAAUAGGGACAGUCGGGGGCAUCAGUAUUCAAUUGUCAGAGGUGAAAUUCUUGGAUUUAUUGAAGACUAACUACUGCGAAAGCAUUUGCCAAGGAUGUUUUCAUUAAUCAGUGAACGAAAGUUAGGGGAUCGAAGACGAUCAGAUACCGUCGUAGUCUUAACCAUAAACUAUGCCGACUAGGGAUCGGGCGGUGUUAUCGAUUUGACCCGCUCGGCACCUUGCGAGAAAUCAAAGUGUU